rnacentral:rRNA from 1 species
CAGUCGCCGCGGGAACACAGAGGGUGCGAGCGUUAAUCGGAUUUACUGGGCGUAAAGCGUGCGUAGGCGGCUAAUUGAGUCGGAUGUGAAAUCCCCGAGCUUAACUUGGGAAUUGCAUUCGAUACUGGUUAGCUAGAGUGUGGGAGAGGAUGGUAGAAUUCCAGGUGUAGCGGUGAAAUGCGUAGAGAUCUGGAGGAAUACCGAUGGCGAAGGCAGCCAUCUGGCCUAACACUGACGCUGAGGUACGAAAGCAUGGGGAGCAAACAGGAUUAGAUACCCCCGUAGUCCCUGUCUCUUAUAA